rnacentral:ncRNA from 1 species
AUCUCUGGAGAAUCUCAUCGUGUAUGAGUGCCGAAGGUGCAAGGCUUUCGCCGAAUCUCUCAGGCAAAAGGACAGAGGAA